UACGUAGGGUGCAAGCGUUGUCCGGAAUUAUUGGGCGUAAAGAGCUCGUAGGCGGUCUGUCGCGUCGGCUGUGAAAACCCGGAGCUCAACUCCGGGCCUGCAGUCGAUACGGGCAGGCUAGAGUUCGGCAGGGGAGACUGGAAUUCCUGGUGUAGCGGUGAAAUGCGCAGAUAUCAGGAGGAACACCGGUGGCGAAGGCGGGUCUCUGGGCCGAUACUGACACUGAGGAGCGAAAGCGUGGGGAGCGAACAGG
rnacentral:rRNA from 1 species